rfam:Ascoidea rubescens DSM 1968 unplaced genomic scaffold ASCRTscaffold_1, whole genome shotgun sequence.
ACCUGUGUAGCGUAAUGGUUAACGCGUCUGACUUCGAAUCAGGAAAUUGUGGGUUCGAGUCCCAUCAUGGGUA